AUUGAACGCUGGCGGCAGGCUUAACACAUGCAAGUCGAGCGAGCGGCGGACGGGUGAGUAAUGUCUGGGAAACUGCCUGAUGGAGGGGGAUAACUACUGGAAACGGUAGCUAAUACCUCAUACCAUCAGAUGUGCCCAUAUGGGAUUUGCUAGUAGGUGGGGUAAUGGCUCACCUAGGCGACGAUCCCUAGCUGGUCUGAGAGGAUGACCAGCCACACUGGAACUGAGACAAGGUCCCAACUCCUACGGGAGGCAGCAGUGGGGAAUAUUACACAAGGGGCGCAAGCCUGAUACAGCCAUGCCGCGGGUGUGAAGAAGGCCAUCGGGUUGUAAAGCACUUUCAGCGAGGAGGCGUUACUCGCAGAAGAAGCACCGGCUAACUCCGUGCCAGCAGCCGCGGUAAUAC
rnacentral:rRNA from 1 species